rnacentral:rRNA from 1 species
UGGGGAAUAUUGCACAAUGGGCGCAAGCCUGAUGCAGCCAUGCCGCGUGUAUGAAGAAGGCCUUCGGGUUGUAAAGUACUUUCAGCGGGGAGGAAGGUGUUGUGGUUAAUAACCACAGCAAUUGACGUUACCCGCAGAAGAAGCACCGGCUAACUCCGUGCCAGCAGCCGCGGUAAUACGGAGGGUGCAAGCGUUAAUCGGAAUUACUGGGCGUAAAGCGCACGCAGGCGGUCUGUCAAGUCGGAUGUGAAAUCCCCGGGCUCAACCUGGGAACUGCAUCCGAAACUGGCAGGCUUGAGUCUUGUAGAGGGGGGUAGAAUUCCAGGUGUAGCGGUGAAAUGCGUAGAGAUCUGGAGGAAUACCGGUGGCGAAGGCAGCCCCCUGGACAAAGACUGACGCUCAGGUGCGAAAGCGUGGGGAGCAAACA